CGCCGGCGCUGGCCGGCUAACUUCUAGAACCGGCGUACCACUUGUUUCGAUCCGAUUUUGCGCCGAAUAAUCAAGCCGGCGUAAGCCGAAUUCGCCGCUCUCGAUUGACGGGCUGACCGGCGAGCGGGAAAGUAAAAUGGCCGACAAUGGCGCAAAUUUCUAGUGAUUUUGGAAGGUGGACCUGAUUUCUUUGCCAUUCAAAAGCACCACAACAUAGCAUUGAAAGUCUAACUGCACAAGAGAGUUCCAACCGCACAAGGAUCUUUGUGGAUGGUCAAUAUAGAAUCUACAUUAGAUGUUCAGAGUGCAGGCUAGUAUUUCACGCAGACUGUGCUCAUUGUGAUCUUGAAGAUAUAAUAACAGGGGACGACCCGUGCAUUUGUGAUGUCUGCGCAAACAGAAUAUUGAAGCUGUGAACUCACUAAUUGGCGUUUAAAAAGACACCCUAAAAAAAAUAAUUUGUGGUGGCGCAAUCACUUCUUGUUUUAAGUUUAUUCAGCCUAAUGCCAUAGGACUUUAAAUGUUCUCAUGUUAUGUUUAACAUAUUGUUCAACAGUUGAUGUUAUCACAUACCUAAUUGAAGAAAGAUAUUUGACUUGUGAUAUGACAUAUUAGCCAUGUGAAAUGACAUCUUAGACAUGUGUUAUGACAUUUUAGCCAUGUGUUAUGACAUCUUAGUCAUGUCAUAAUACAUGUCUAAUAUGUAAUAUCACAUAUCUAAGAUGUCAUAUCACAUGACUAAGUUAUCAUAUCAUAUGACUAAUAUUUCAUAACACAUGACUAAGAUGUCAGGUCACAUGUCUAAGUUGUCAUAUCAUAUGACUACGAUGUCAAAUCUUCUGUCUAAGAUGUCAAAACACAUGACUUAGUUGUCAUAUCACAUUUCUAAGUAAACAUAUCAUAUGACUUAAGAUCUCAUAUCACAUGUGUAAGUUGUCAUAACACAUGACUAAGUUGUCAUAUAACAUGUCUAAGUUAUCAUAUGGCAAAGAUGUCAUAUCACAUGUCUAGGAUGUCAUAACACAUGACUUAGUUGUCAUAUCACAUGUCUAAGUUAGCAUAUCAUAUGUCUAAGAUGUCAUAUCACAUGUGUAAGUUGUCGUAACACGUGACUAAGUUGUCAUAUCACAUGUCUAAGUUAUCAUAUGGCUAAGAUGUCAUAUCACAUGUCUUGGAUGUCAUAACACAUGACUUAGUUGUCAUAUCACAUGUCCAAGUUAGCAUAUCAUAUGUCUAAGAUGUCAUAUCACAUGUGUAAGUUGUCAUAACACAUGACUAAGUUGUCAUAUCACAUGUCUAAGUUAUCAUAUGGCUAAGAUGUCAUAUCACAUGUCUAGGAUGUCAUAACACAUGACUUAGUUGUCAUAUCACAUGUCUAAGUUAGCAUAUCAUAUGUCUAAGAUGUCAUAUCACAUGUGUAAGUUGUCAUAACACAUGACUAAGUUGUCAUAUCACAUGUCUAAGUUAUCAUAUGGCUAAGAUGUCAUAUCACAUGUCUUGGAUGUCAUAACACAUGACUUAGUUGUCAUAUCACAUGUCUAAGUUAACAUAUCAUAUGUCUAAGAUGUCAUAUCACAUGUGUAAGUUGUCAUAACACAUGACUAAGUUGUCAUAUCACAUAUCUAAGUUAUCAUAUUUUAAUCCACAAAAACUCUUCUUAACUUACAUUUGCGCCAUUGUCGGCCAUUUUACUUUCCUGCUCGCCGGUCAAUCGAGAGCGGCGAAUUCGGCUUUUCAUAUGACUAAGAUGUCAUAUCACAUGUCACGUCAUAACACAUGACUUAGUUGUCAUAUCACAUGUAAUGGUUAUCAUAUCACAUGACUAAGAUGUCAUUUCACAUGACUAAGAUGUCAUAGCACGUCUAAGUAGUCAUAUCACAUAUAUAAGUUGUCAUAUCAUAUGACUAAGAUGACAUCUUAGUCAUAUGAUAUGAUUACUUAGUCAUGUGUUAUGACAGGGUUUUUUCUUUAUCUUUUAAUAUUUUUAUUAUAACUUAACAUUGUCUUCAAAUGUUUGAUUUUCUUACCUUUGUGAUUGUAUCAGGGAUAUGUGCAGCGGCAGUUGAACAUAUAUUCAUCCACAGUUUUAAUAACCUGCCAUUGUAAUUUAGCAUUAGAGACUGUUCAGUUAGUAGGAAAUGAUUUCAUGGAACCAGAAAUUCUGAUAAGGAGGACUCCAGUUUAAAAGUUGUUUCUGUUACAGUUUAGAGGUUUGGGCUGUAUUAAUGCAAAGUGCCAUACGCAGCUGUAUUUUGUGCCCACAUGUUUCAAUUACUGUUUUUAUACUUCCACAAACGAAGUUUAGGGGGGUAUAUAGGAGUGAGCUUGUCUGUCGGUCGGUCGGUAUUGGUUGUCCGCUCUCUAAUUUAAGUAGUUUUCAUCCGAUCUUCCCCAAGUUUGGUCAGAAUUUUUAUCUAGAUGAUCUUGAGACCAAGAUCGAACAUUGGUCUUGCUGGGUCAAAAACUAGGUCACGGGGUCACUUAGUGUGUUUUAAACAUCGAGCAUGGUGUCCGCUCUCUAAUUGAAGUAGUUUACUUCCGAUCUUCACCAAACUUGGUCAGAAGUUUUAUAUAGAUGAUCUCUACGCAAAGUUCGAACAUGAGCCAUGGGUCACUUAGCGGUAGAAUGUUUUACACAUUAAGCAUGGUGUUCGCUGUCUAAUUCAAGUAGUUUUCAUCCGAUCUUCAACACAAUUGGUCAGAAGUUGUAUCAAGAUGAUGUGUAGGUCAAGUUCGAACAUGGGCCAUGCCAGGUCAAAAACUAGGUCACGGGGUCACUUAGUGAGUUUUAAAUAUUGAGCAUGGUGUCUGCUAUGAUUUUGUGAAGACACAUGCAAAAUAUUCUGUGUCAAUGCCACAUGUGGGGGUAUUCGUCACGUCUGUGACAAAGCUCUAGUUCUUUUUAGCUCACCUGAUUGCUCAGGUGAGCUUUUGUGACCGGGCCUUGUCCGUCCGUUCACAUUUAUUCGUAAACACUCUAGAGGGCACAUUUCUUUGCCGAUCUUCAUGAAACUUGGUCAGUACAUUGGUUUUAUUGAUUUCUCUGACAAGUUGGAAAAUGGCUGAGAGCGGUGUAACACACUUUUUAGCUCACCUGAUUGCUCAGGUGAGGUUUUAGGAUUGGUCUUUGUCUGCCGUCCGUCCGUCAACAUUUGGUUUGUAAACACUCUAGCAUUCACACUUCUUAAGCAUUCUUUAUGAAAGAUAUAGGUCAAGUUUGAUAAUGAGCAAAAUCACAUAAGUAAUGCCAUAAUUAUUGCCCUUAGAUUGUGUCCAAAAUAAUUGUAAACACUCUAGAGGUCACAAUUUUGUUUCAAUUUUUAUGAAUCAUGGUUAAAAAAAUAUUUCUAAGCGAAGUUUAAUGUUUGGCAAGGGAGGGGGGUCAACUCAAAAUAUAGGUCACCAGGUCAAAUCUCACAAAAACACCCCAUAAGCCAGAGUUUUGAUUCAAUAAUGAUGAAACUUGACCAUGGUGUUUGUCUGGACAAUAUCUAGGUCAAGAUUGACAUUAGGUAAAGAUUGAAUGAGCCAACUCCUCUCAGGUGAGAAAACUAGGGCCAUCUUGGCUCUCUUGUUUAUUUUACUGUGAUAUAUGAGGUACAUAUUGAUACAUGUGAUAUUUUUAUUUUACUGUGAUAUAUGAAGAACAUAUUGAUAUAUGAUUUUUAUUUUACUGUGAUAUAUGAGGAACAAAUUGAUAAGUUUUGUCAGACAGGUGUUUCAAACCUGCUGUCACAGGCAUGACAUAAUGAUAUACGCAUUAUACUCGUAAUAUGUUCAAUAUUUCGGAAAUAAACAAGUAAAACCAAA